GAUCCAGACUUUGAUUAUGGCUCACGAUGAACGCUAGCUACAGGCUUAACACAUGCAAGUCGAGGGGAAACGACAUUGGAAGCUUGCUUCCGAUGGGCGUCGACCGGCGCACGGGUGAGUAACGCGUAUCCAACCUGCCCACCACUUGGGAAUAACCUUGCGAAAGUAAGACUAAUGCCCAAUGACAUUGAGUGCAGACAUCUAAUCUCAAUUAAAGAUUUAUCGGUGAUGGAUGGGGAUGCGUCCGAUUAGCUUGUUGGCGGGGUAACGGCCCACCAAGGCAACGAUCGGUAGGGGUUCUGAGAGGAAGGUCCCCCACAUUGGAACUGAGACACGGUCCAAACUCCUACGGGAGGCAGCAGUGAGGAAUAUUGGUCAAUGGGCGAGAGCCUGAACCAGCCAAGUAGCGUGCAGGAUGACGGCCCUAUGGGUUGUAAACUGCUUUUAUAAGGGAAUAAAGUGGGGCUCGUGAGCUCCUUUGCAUGUACCUUAUGAAUAAGGACCGGCUAAUUCCGUGCCAGCAGCCGCGGUAAUACGGAAGGUCCGGGCGUUAUCCGGAUUUAUUGGGUUUAAAGGGAGCGUAGGCCGUAGGUUAAGCGUGUUGUGAAAUGUAGGGGCUCAACCUCUGCACUGCAGCGCGAACUGGCUUGCUUGAGUACGCACAACGUGGGCGGAAUUCGUGGUGUAGCGGUGAAAUGCUUAGAUAUCACGAAGAACUCCGAUUGCGAAGGCAGCUCACGGGAGCGCAACUGACGCUGAAGCUCGAAAGUGCGGGUAUCGAACAGGAUUAGAUACCCUGGUAGUCCGCACGGUAAACGAUGGAUGCCCGCUGUUGGCUUGAAUUAGUCAGCGGCCAAGCGAAAGCAUUAAGCAUCCCACCUGGGGAGUACGCCGGCAACGGUGCAACUCAAAGGAAUUGACGG
rnacentral:rRNA from 1 species